UACGAAAAAUGCAAACGUUGCUCGGAAUCAUUGGGCAUAAAGCGCACGUAGGCAACCUUGCAAGUCGGAUGUGAAAUCCCACGGCUCAACCGUGGACGUGCAUCCGAAACUGCUCGGCUCGAGUAUGGAAGAGGGUCGCGGAAUUCCCGGUGUAGAAAUAAAAUUCGUAGAUAUCGGGAGGAACACCAGUAACGAAGGCGGCGACCUGGGCCAAUACUGACACUGAGGUGCGAAAGCGUAAAAAGCAAACAGG
rnacentral:rRNA from 1 species